rnacentral:lncRNA from 1 species
UGAUGUGUUCACUGAAGGACUCUUAUCUCUAACAGGUUAUGAGCCCCGCGCUUUAGCGUGCGGUCAUCCGUUUGCCCGGUGGUGCCUUUUUCUGCUGUGUGCGGACUUAGCUGUAGGCAAGGAUGAAAAUAGAUAAGGAGGAUUUUUAUUUCUCCAUUAGCACCUUUCACCUCUUGAAGGAGCACGUCAUCGGCGUCCUUCAACGUAAAGGACUAGCGAACGCGAUCAGCCCCGUGCAGGCUACGCGGGAUGUAGUGACAGACGAGCAAGACCAGCGAGCUUUGGGCGUUAUCAAGGAAUUCAUCCGCGUCCUGGAGAAGCCCCUGUACGCGCGUCACGCGAAGGCGUACGACCUGUGGCUUGCUUUGGCGGCUAAGUAUGGGCAGCAGACUCGAGCUGCGAAGAGCUUAUUGGUUCAACGGUUGACNCAAUUCAAGAUGGAAUCGAGCGAGACGAUCAGCGAUUACAUCGCGAGGUUCCAAGCGCUUCGACUAGAGUUCGCAGCCAUCGAUAUUAGUUUGGCGGAUGACGAGGCGGUGGACCACGUCUUGAGGGGCCUACCUGAUACGUAUGCCAUGAUCCGCACAGUUAUAGAAAAUACUACCGACGUGGACGACGUCGAGAAGCUGGAGAUGCGGCUACUCGUCGAGGAGCAGAAGAUUGAUACGGAGACCAAGAAGUCGCCCGUGAAGGGAGCCUACAACGUCGCGCGGCAGGCGCCACACAAGAAGAAGGACAACAGGAAGUGCUUCUACUGCAAGGAGCAGGGCCAUUUAGUUGCCAAGUGUCCGAAGCUUAGACAGCCAUAUCCGCCACCACCACCGCCGCCGCCGCCGCCUCCCCCUCCACCACCUCCCCAGCCUUUCAUGCGCCAACGACAACAACAACCGCAAGUGCAGCCGCAGGCCCAGGGCGUGCGGCGGCGACUAGUUGGCGUCAUAAACACGCUUGGGGGAAUGAGACUGGCACCUGGUGAAUGGCUUCUCGACACUGGAGCCGAGGAUCACCUGACCUUCACGCCUGAGGACGUGGAGGGUCUGAAGCCGGUGCGCGAGGGCGAGGGUGUCGUUUUUGAGGUGGCGGAUGGGCGGACGGUUAGCUCGAUUGGUGAGGGCAGGGCGGUUUUCGCCUCUUUUCGAGGGCAGACGGAAUUGUCGGUACCUGUACACGUAGUUCCGGACCUGCAACACCGCCUGUUCUCAGUCAAGGCCCUGAAGAGAUCCUUCCCGGAUCAGGUGGUAGAGGUUGUCCUGUCCGCCGAUUGCUCGUAUAUAGCAAUAGACGGAAUUCCCGCUGUCGAUGUGUUCGAGGAGAACGGGAUGUACAUCGUGCUUGCGCAGCCAGAUGCCGAGUGGAAUAGGGCAUUAUCACUGCAUCGCUUUCCCAAGGAAAAGUUAGACACCUUGCAUCGUCGCAUGGGGCAUGCUAGCCUCACCCGUUUUGAUAGGCCGUUUUUUGACGACCUGGUCCAUUCGGAGCCCACAUGCCGCGAGGAAAGCCUUCGUCCGGAGAGCAAGGUCUGCGAGCCGUGCGUUAUGGGAAAAAUGACCCGCAGCCCCCAUCAUUCAUCGACGCACAAGGGCGAACGCGUGCUCGACCUCGUCCAUAUGGAUCUUUGCGGCCCGAUGCCGGUCACGUCGCUGGGUGGAGCCAACUACUUCGCUACCUUCUACGACGAUUUUAGCAAAUACUCCGAGGUUCGUUGCGUUCGCGCAAAGAGCGAAGUCCCCGCUGCGUUNNNNNNNNNNNNNNNNNNNNNNNNNNNNNNNNNNNNNNNNNNNNNNNNNNCUGAUAGUGAUGAUGACGGUGAAGUGGAUGAGGAGGUCAGUGAAGGAUUGGUUGACGCAGGGCCGUCCAACGCAGGGCCGUCUGACGCAGGGCCGUCAAAUGCAGGACCGUCCAAUGCGAACAAUAAUUUGCCGUUAGCUCUUGGUAGGGAAAAGCGUUCCAAUGCCGGAGUUCCACCCAAACGUUUUGCUUUCCGCGUAGAGAUGGAGGAAGAGUCGGAUGAUGAUGUCGAUAUUCCGGAAUCUUACGAGGAAGCAAUGGCAUCUCCCUAUGCUGAAGUUUGGCGUGCUGCAAUGCUUGAAGAGCUUGAGUCUUUGCGUGCGAAGGGUACUUGGUCCUUAGUGCCGAAGCCCAAGGACAACAGAUCUCUUGACGUUAAGUGGGUUUUCUCAUUGAAGCGUGACAAGCAUGGUGCCAUUGAACGGUUCAAGGCACGCCUAGUAGUGAAAGGUUUUAUGCAACGUGAGGGUGUGGAUUUCCAGGAGGUCUUUGCGCCGGUAAGUCGCCACACUACCUUGCGUACUUUUUUGUCCAUGGUAGCUGGCGCCGAUAUGGAAUUGCACCAACUAGAUGUCAAGACGGCGUUUCUGAAUGGCGAUUUAGAAGAAGAGAUUUAUGUUAAACAACCCCCCGGUUUUGAAGAGGGAGGCCCGGGGAAGCUUGUCUUCUUCAUAAGGCCUUGUAUGGCCUUCGCCAAGCGUCGCGUGCAUGGUAUGACACGUUAUGUGAAGAAUUAGUGUCGAUGGACUUUGUCGCGUCGAGUGCGGACCCUAGUUUAUUUGUUCGCCGUAAACAAGGCGAGGUUGUAUAUCUUUUGGUUUAUGUAGACGACGUUUUGAUUGCGUCUUGGAGCGAGAGAGCCGUUUCAGAAGUAAAGGCGGCUAUCAUGCGGCGGUUUGAGUGCCGCGACUUAGGAGAGGCAAGUUUAUUUUUGGGUCUUACUCUUAAGCGCGAUCGAGCGAACAGGGUAAUUACCGUUUCUCAGGGGCGUAUGGUUAAGGACAUUGUGGGUCUUUAUGGCAUGGCUAAUUCACGGCCGAAGUCUGUACCUAUGAGUCCUGGAACCGUCUUACCUAAUGCUGCAGUGGAAGAUCGGCUGGAUCGAGAGCGUUUCCCGUAUAGCCAGUUAAUUGGCAGUUUGUUGUACGUGUCUGGAUGUACUCGUCCUGACAUUGCACAAGCCGUGGGAGUUUUGGCGCGGGACAUGUCGAAUCCUAGCAGGUCGGACUGGAAAGCGGCGAAGGAGGUAGUACGCUAUUUGGCAGGAACGUCCGAUUACGGAUUACUUCUAGGUGGUGAACGAGCAGAUGAGAGGUUGGUCGGAUAUAGCGAUGCUGACUAUGCGGGUUGUGCUGACUCGCGGCGGUCAACGUCUGGUUAUGUCUUUACUCUUCAUGGUGGUACAGUUAGUUGGGCUAGCAAACUUCAGCGGAGCGUGGCUGCGUCCACUAUGGAGGCUGAGUAUAUGGCUGUUUCGGAAGCUGCUAAGGAGGCUUUAUGGUUGCGACAACUACUUGGCGAUCUCGGCUACGACCUCAAGCCAACGCAGAUCAAUUGCGAUAGUCAGAGCGCAAUUCGGUUGGCGAGCAAUCCGGUUGUUUCGAAGCAAUCGAAGCACAUCUCUGUGCGUUAUCAUUUUGUACGGGAGCAGGUAGCGCUCGGUACGCUUGUGAUGGUAGAUUGCAGGUCGGAAGAUAUGGUAGCUGAUUGCUUAACGAAGCCUUUACCAACUGAGAAGUUUGAGAAGCAUCGUAUAGCGAUGAACGUGUGCAAGUCCUGAGCGCGUGGGAGUGUUGGAAAGUGCUCUUAGGUACACUCAGGCUUGACACUUCGGUAGUUUGAUUAGUUGCCGUUAUCCCAAUACGACAUCGGAUCAGGAUUGGCUACGGUAUGCUUAUAUACUGCUUGCGUAUCCUUUCUCUCUCUCUCCUUGUGUAACGAUAUGAGCGAGUGAUGUGUUCACUGAAGGACUCUUAUCUCUAACAGUAGCGCUUCCGAAAGAACGGCUAAAGCGGCCUUGGACAAUCGGUCUUAACUAACUGAGAAGUAAUGGCAGUGCACGGUGCCGCAAAGGCUUUAGGGCCGGUGUCAUCUUGCACCGCCAUGAAGCCAGCAACUGCUGAUGAACAUCUAGAUGGAGGCGGUAUCAUGGCUACGGGGCCUCGUGCCUUGGCAGCUUUAGCCUUGACUGCCAGAGCGCGCAUUUCCUAGGUCAGUCAAGAGGGGACAGUGGCCCCUAUUGGCUAUCUUGUUUGGGUUGAGAGCUUCCUUAAGCGGCGUAAAAUCAGGCUCAAUGCGCAAACUCGCGUGAUGGAGCCUUGACUCAUGAGACUGUGCGCGCGUGUGAUGCAUCCUUCCCGCGGGAAGGAGAGUGCGGCUCUUGGCUGCUUAGGAGGGGGCAGAGGCCCCACGCACCCCUUUCCCAUCCGCGGGAGAGAGCUUAGGCGGUCUUUCCGUUAGGGCUGGGCAGCUGGCCCUGCCCAGUGUCACGCCCCGGUUAGCUACUUGUAACUUUCAAGGUAGCAUCCUGGAUGUAUUACGGCAUUUUUGACAUCGGAACGUUGGUGCAUUUUUUGUAACCAUGGUGCAAGACCUUUACAUACACAUGUGUAUGGGUUGUGUGUAAAUAUAGGCACAUUAAGUAUGGUCCUGCAACAAAAGUAUCCCUGAUUCGCCGAGAGGUAACAGGUAACUGGAGUUACACACUUCGCAGCGUCACUGCUAUGCAGCUACCAAGGAUGUGCACGGUGUGAGGAGGAGCUGCGUUUGAUUCAGGUUCAAACUGAGAGAGCAGUGGCUUUACAUUACACCUGUCGGGUGCAGCUGCUGGCCAAUGCUGCCAUUAAGGCCUCA